rnacentral:lncRNA from 1 species
GUAGAGGCGGUAGGGGCUGGCGUCGCGGGCGAGCCACUGCUCGACGGUGAACUGCUGCUGGCUGCAGCCCAUGUGGGGGCCGGUGGUGGUGACCUCGACGUAGUUACAGUACCAGCCGUGGUGGGGGCCGGAGCCGUCGGAGGUGAGGUUCAUCCAGCACGGCGGCCAGGAGGUUAUGCAGGGCCCGCGGCCGCUGAAGAUGUCGAGGUUGCCGCGCUCGUAGUAGUCGUAGUUGGCGCCCAUGAGGCCGCCCCAGCUCUCCAGGUCCUCGAUCAGCACCCCGACGCCGUCCGACCCCGCCAACGCCAGGCUGAUCACCGAGUCCGUCCCCGCCUUCCAGAUCGACCCCGUCC